rnacentral:rRNA from 1 species
AAAGGUUGGCUAAUACUGGAUAGAGCGCGGGAGUCGUAGAGGCUUUCGCGGGAAAUGAGGGCGUAGCAAUACGCUCUUGCACUGAGAUGAGCCUGCGUCCCAUCAGCUAGUUGGCGGGGUAACGGCCCACCAAGGCAUUGACGGGUAGCUGGUCUGAGAGGACGAUCAGCCACACUGGAACUGAAACACGGUCCAGACUCCUACGGGAGGCAGCAGUGGGGAAUCUUGCGCAAUGGACGAAAGUCUGACGCAGCGACGCCGCGUGAGUGAAGAAGGCCUUCGGGUUGUAAAGCUCUGUCGAGUGGGAAAAAGUCCCUCGUAAAUAACAAGUGCGAGGGGUGAUGGUACCACUAAAGGAAGCACCGGCUAACUCCGUGCCAGCAGCCGCGGUAA